rnacentral:rRNA from 1 species
CAGUUAGUCUUCAUAAGAGUCAAAUGCUUUUAUGUUUAAGGAUAAGCUGUGAAUGUACCAAGUUUACUUGGAAAUUGUGUGAUUUCACGCUGCUGAAAAAAGUUUCGUAGGAAGAAAAUAUUGCCCGUACCGCAAACCGACACAGGUACUCAAGUGGAGAACACUAAGGUGAGCGAGUGAACUAUUGUUAAGGAACUCUGCAAAAUGAGUCCGUAACUUCGGAAGAAGGACUGCUGGUUUUAUACCAGCCGCAGCAAAUAGGCCCAAACAACUGUUUAUCAAAAACACAGGUUUCUGCAAAAUCGUAAGAUGAAGUAUAGGGGCUGACGCCUGCCCAGUGCUGGAAGGUUAAAAGGAGGACUUAGCUUCGGCGAAGGUCUUAAUUGAAGCCCCAGUGAACGGCGGCCGUAACUAUAACGGUCCUAAGGUAGCGAAAUUCCUUGUCGGGUAAGUUCCGACCCGCAUGAAAGGCGUAAUGAUUUGGGCGCUGUCUCAACAAUAGACUCGGUGAAAUUUAAAUUCCAGUGAAGAUGCUGGGUACCCGCGACAGGACGGAAAGACCCCGUGGAGCUUUACUGUAGCUUGAUAUUGAAUGUUUGUGCUGCAUGUGCAGGAUAGGUAGGAGACUUUGAAGUCGGAACGCUAGUUUCGAUUGAGUCACCCUUGAGAUACUACCUCUGUUGUAUGAACGUUCUAACUCUGAUCAGUUAUCCUGAUCGAAGACAGUGUCUGGCAGGCAGUUUGACUGGGGCGGUCGCCUCCUAAAAGAUAACGGAGGCGCUCAAAGGUUUGCUCAGAAUGGUUGGAAAUCAUUCGUAGCGUGUAAAGGCAUAAGCAAGCUUGACUGUGAGACUGACAAGUCGAGCAGGUACGAAAGUAGGACUUAGUGAUCCGGUGGUUCCGUAUGGAAGGGCCAUCGCUCAACGGACAAAAGCUACCC